AGUCUUCACCAGUGAACUGAUACUGAUCCGAUUCCGUGUCGUUAAAAAACGGAUUUUUUGAGGGCCGUAGAACGGAUUGGUUUCCGUUCUCUAACGCUAGAGUCGCAUGAAGGCAAUAACGUUAUGCCUACCCUCUAGCGCCUCUAGCUGAUUCAUAAUCGGAUUCGUUUCAGUUAACCGAUUUUUGACAAAGCAGCGCGUUGUUCAAAUCAGUGAGCGGACCCGUUUCCGUUCACAGAUCCGUUUCAGUUUAUUAUCAACUUGUUUUUAUAAUAAGAAGCCGAAACCUUUCCAUUAUUUGAACGGAUUCGUUUCCGUUUCCAUAGCACGUUUUUAGUAAACAAACUGUUUGCUUAUUAGAAUAACGUACGUGCUUAAUGUGAGUGCAAUAUUUUGUUUUCAAUAAUGCCUAUGUCAGAACAAUUAAGGGUAAAUUUUGUUAUUUUCGUUAGAUAAUUAAGAAAAUUUAAACCUUUUUCCCUUCUUGGUUCUUUUAGAAAAUGGUUGCUGAAGGGAAAAUCAAAAAAAAAGACCCAGGGCAGAAUCAUGGACUGCAGGAAAGAGAUGGGAUAGAUUAAAAACUGUAAAACAAAAAUUAGAAACCCUUCAUGGAGAAAAUGAGGUGCAAUAUGCAACUAAGGACGAUUCUGGCUCAGCUGUUUCAUUGCAUGAAUCAAGUGUUGUUGGACACGAUGCAUUAGACUUAGGCCAGCCAGCCAAUUCCGCCGUAGCCGCCAACAAAUCGUCAUUGGUAAUAAUCUUGGAAGGCUUCGACGCAGAAGAAGUUGGAAGCAGAUAUGUGGAGGUUAAAGAAGCAUCAAAUGGUGCUGUUAAGACAUGGGAGAUCAAGCAAGUACCAAGUCGCUGGACUGAAGCAGAAUUUAAACAGUUUAUAGAAACUCAAUUUGUAAAUUGAUGCUUUCUUUACUUAUUUAUUUUUUUUUUGCUUUUUUUAAUAUUUGGUACUACCAUACUACCAUACCAGCAUUGCACUAGUGUAAUGCUACUAAAACUGCCAUUCCCUUUUACUCUUUCACUGACACAAACCAGUAUUAAAUUAUGUGUUUUUACCGUUGGCCUGUCGGUUCCCCCGUCGGUGGCUGGAACACUGUGCCGCAACUCGUAAAAUUCUCUAAAAGAAGACGUGUUUUCCAGUGAAAACAUGCGUUGUGGUUUAUUGCAUUUCAAUAUCUUCCAAUUCAGAAAAAUGUGAUAAAGAAAAGUUAAAACGGCUUGUUAAAUUUUUCAACAUUGCAGUCCUAUUAUACGGAUUAAUAUAUUAAGUCUGUAAUUUUAUGUGGAAGUUAAACCCUGAUGUAUGUGUAAUUGUAUGUGUGUCAUUCGGUGGUCGGCGGCUUGGUGGUUGGAAUCAUUAUGAGCGUUAAUAAGUGAAGAAGUGCUUCCGUCCUUCACAUUCGGUGACUGUCAGAUUCAAAUAAACAAGUGACAAGAA